rnacentral:lncRNA from 1 species
AUCUUGCACGGACGGCCCAGAGUGAAUCGCGAUGAAUGGUACAUAUUCAUUUUCUAUUUAAUCGUGAUCGGACGGUCCAGAUUAAAAGCGAUGGAUGUCCCAGAUCGAAAGCGUAUGGGUAUAAAUAACCCCAUCCGCACCCAAACCCUAACCCUAGCUUCCAGAGCCCCUCACCGGAGAAGACAGCCCAGCCGGCACACUAGAGCAAUUUUCGGCUUCCAAAUGAGGUAAAAAUUCUACUCUUUGCUUAGAAUUUGAUUUCCAACACACCCAUGGCCAAAUCAGAGCGAAAGAACCGGUCAAUUGGCUGAAAAUCACCGUCGUGGGGUGUUUCAGUUUUUGCCUCCAAUUAGGUCCUUCCCGAUUCUCGUUCGAUAUGAUUUUUCUACUGUUGAUCAGAUCACCAUUUCCUCCUCUACAGGUUGACCAGAGCAAAACACCCAACCGCAACGUGAGCCGGAGGAGCCACUGCACCAGAGAGGGCCCUAAGU